rnacentral:tRNA from 1 species
GCCCGGGUGCCGGAACGGUAGACGGAUGGCUCUUAAAAAGCCUGGCCCGCGAGGGCGUGUGGGUUCGAAUCCCACCCCGGGCA